rnacentral:rRNA from 1 species
UACAGAGGGUGCGAGCGUUAAUCGGAAUUACUGGGCGUAAAGCGCACGUAGGCGGAUUUGUAAGUCAGGGGUGAAAUCCCGAGGCUCAACCUCGGAACUGCCUUUGAUACUGCAAAUCUCGAGUCCGGAAGAGGUAUGUGGAACUCCGAGUGUAGAGGUGAAAUUCGUAGAUAUUCGGAAGAACACCAGUGGCGAAGGCGGCUUCCUGGCCUGUUCUUGACGCUGAGGCGCGAAAGCUAGGGGAGCAAACGGG